UGGGGAAUAUUGGACAAUGGGCGAAAGCCUGAUCCAGCCAUGCCGCGUGUGUGAAGAAGGUCUUCGGAUUGUAAAGCACUUUAAGUUGGGAGGAAGGGCAGUAAGCGAAUACCUUGCUGUUUUGACGUUACCGACAGAAUAAGCACCGGCUAACUCUGUGCCAGCAGCCGCGGUAAUACAGAGGGUGCAAGCGUUAAUCGGAAUUACUGGGCGUAAAGCGCGCGUAGGUGGUUCGUUAAGUUGAAUGUGAAAGCCCCGGGCUCAACCUGGGAACUGCAUCCAAAACUGGCGGGCUAGAGUAGGGCAGAGGGUGGUGGAAUUUCCUGUGUAGCGGUGAAAUGCGUGGAUAUAGGAAGGAACACCAGUGGCGAAGGCGACCACCUGGGCUCAUACUGACACUGAGGUGCGAAAGCGUGGGGAGCAAACAGG
rnacentral:rRNA from 1 species